CGGUCACGCCAUCAUCGUGUUGAUGGUACUUCUCCCAUAAUCUUAUUCCAUCUCCGCCACUGUUCGCCGAUGGUAUUGUAUGUUUAUACUUUUACCUGCCUUUUAAUUCUUACACUUUAUCCAUGUUCUUAGAGGGCUUUAACAUCCAGUACUCAUGUUUGAGUCUAUCUAUAACAUAAAAACAUAUUUUCCGUUGAAUAUAUUUUGCAUCCAAAAUUUUGCAAGGGCUGCAUUUUUCGGAUUU